GAGAAUUGAUUGGGCAAAUGAUGGUUUCCCCUCACUUACAAACCCAAGAUGAUGUUGAGAAGGAUGACAGCUCUGAUGAGGAGUCUCUUCCACCAGUCAGAUAAGAUCGACUGCAGAGCUCGAGGCACAUUCUGCUGCAUGUGAUCAAAUGUCCCCCAGUGUGUGAGACCAGAAUUCUGCUCGCUGAAAAGAACAAUGCUGGAAACCCAAAGCAAGGAAAAGAGGCACCAGCACCACAUCUGAAGGCAGAGUAUUUGCCUCCCAUGCCUCCCGGCUCACACUUCACGCAGCUUUUCCAUGAUCAAAGACCACGAUGACGUUGACGUGGCUGAAGGGAUGGAGGGAAACAACAGAUGGAGAGACAGAGAGUUGGUGAGUGGGUGGACACACACUUCAUGGCUGGACUGGAAGUGAGGUCUUUAUCAUCUGCAGACACUCACGUCGUGGCUCCCUCUG